rnacentral:lncRNA from 1 species
AACAAAUUGGUGGCCGGCACAGGGACCCAAGGAUCUUGUGGAUUCAGAACUCUUCAGCUGAGGAACGGCGGUACCGUCUCUUGAACAGAGUCGCCUCUUAUCUGAGUAGGACCUGACUGCCUCUUAUCUGAGUUGGUCGGCUAAAAGCGGAGCAGUUGUCCAGAAAGCUGCUCCUCCAGAUUGCAAAACUCAACAGCACUCGACUGGACCUUGUCACCUUGGGGAACUUCACCUCCUGGAUCACCAAUGCCUUCUCAUUUUUUAAGGAAUGGGCGGGAAUGUUGGCCUGGGGGGCAGUGGUCCUCCUGGGUUGUGUCUUUUGUAUCUGGCUAUUGUGUCGAUUCAAACGAGAGCACACUCAGGAUAAGGCAGUGGUGUACCAAGCAUUGAUGGUGCAUCUCCCAAUGUUUGGCUGGCCUCUUUAAAAAAUUAAGAGUUCGCCCUAGGUUGUCUGGCAGUUGUAGUCACACAGAUCCAUGGUAUCCAGUGACAGGCAACUUUCCUUAUGCACAGACCAACCUAAGACAUGGGGCCUGGAGGCUAUAGGGUAACCCUAGGACGGGUAAGGCUGUGACAUGAAAGGAUCGACCUAAGACAGGAGCCGUGGCCGAUGGACAGACUUGCCCAGACCUAGUCCAGCAUCAUAUUAUUAAACAAAAAAGGGGGAGAUGUAGGCAGCUGGGCGCCUAAAAGAUGGCGCCGGCCUCCGGCAUACCGUCACUGUAAACAAUGUUACUGCGCAGGCGCUAGCCUGAAUCUGGCGCCAACCCCUCCCAAGCGGGUGCAUACAAAUCAAAGUGCCGGCAGAUUGACCAAUCCCAGGAGGACACACAGAUCUCCCCAGUGCUGGGGUGUAUAUAAGCAGUCCUCGCUGGGUUUCCGAGGUUCCCGUAGCAUCGAGGUGUUCCUGAA